UACGAAGGGAGCUAGCGUUGUUCGGAAUAACUGGGCGUAAAGGGUGCGUAGGUGGAUGUGUGCGUUAGAUGUGAAAUCCCCGGGCUUAACCUGGGAACUGCAUUUAAUACGGCACGUCUAGAGUGCGAGAGGGGAAAGCGGAAUGGCGAGUGGAGCAGUGAAAUGCAUUGAGAUUCGCUAGAACACCAGAGGCGAAGGCGGCUUUCUGGCUCGCUACUGACACUAAGGCACGAAAGCGUGGGGAGCAAACAGGAUUAGAUACCCUGGUAGUCCACGCUGUAAACGAUGGAUGCUAGAUGUUGGUCAGAUUGCUGAUCAGUGUCGGCGCUUACGCAAUAAGCAUCCCGCCUGGGGAGUACGAUCGCAAGAUUA
rnacentral:rRNA from 1 species